rnacentral:rRNA from 1 species
CCUACGGGGGGCAGCAGUGAGGAAUAUUGGUCAAUGGGCGCGAGCCUGAACCAGCCAAGUAGCGUGAAGGAUGACUGCCCUACGGGUUGUAAACUUCUUUUAUAAAGGAAUAAAGUGAGGCACGUGUGCCUUUUUGUAUGUACUUUAUGAAUAAGGAUCGGCUAACUCCGUGCCAGCAGCCGCGGUAAUACGGAGGAUCCGAGCGUUAUCCGGAUUUAUUGGGGUUAAAGGGAGCGUAGAUGGGUUGUUAAGUCAGUUGUGAAAGUUUGCUGCUCAACCGUAAAAUUGCAAUUGAUACUGGCAGCCUUGAUUACAGUUGAGGUAUGCGGAAUUCGUGGUGUAGCGGUGAAAUGCUUAGAUAUCACGAAGAACUCCGAUUGCGAAGGCCGCUUACUAAACUGCCACUGACAUUGAUGCUCGACAGUGUGGGUAUCAAACAGGAUUAGAUACCCGAGUAGUC